GUCUAUUAAAAAACAGCAAUUUUAAGUUACUCUACAAGCGUAUUCUUAAUAAACACUUAUUUUACAUUAAUAUCCAACAAAACAUUCUACUAGAUAUGUGCGAUCUUUUUAUCUUAUCAAAAUUAUUAUAUCUUAUCAUCUGUUAUAUGUUUAUAUUUCAUAUCUAUUUGCAGUUUUACAUUCGUAUUCGUAUUUAAGUUUCAACUGCAAACUGCUUUCACAAAUAUUGUAAUAAGAAUGAAGUUUGUGUGUUAGUUUUUGUUUGAUUAUUUCCAUUUCUGAAUCUCUCAGUAUUUUCCCGUACUUGUUGUAAUAUAAAGAUUUUCGUAUUAAUAAUGGCAUGUAUUAGUGACAUAUUUUCCUCCAACCAUUAUACAUAUUUAACCGACAACAUUUUUUCAGAUGGUAGUACGGCAGAUCACUUGGUGCAUAAUGAGACGUGAAUUCACAUUCCUACCACUUGGAAUAGUAUCAACAUCCUACAUUGAACAAUGUACUAGAAGAUUCUGAUAAUAAUAAUGGUUUUAUGCAAUGUGGCAGUAUAAUAAUGGAUCACUGAAACAUGCUGAGACAUUAAUUAACAUUUUUGGAAUAUUGGGAAAGUUUCAACAUCCUACAUUGAACAUGGACUUGAAGAUUCUGAUAAUAAUAAUGAUUUUAUGCAAUGUACUUGUAAUGAAUAUAAAAUAUAAUUAAUAGUAAAUUAAUAGUAGUGGAACAAUUGAAAUUUGUUAAAAAUAUGAAUAUAGUAUUGGUAAACAAA